AUUGAACGCUGGCGGCAUGCCUUACACAUGCAAGUCGAACGGCAGCACGGGUGCUUGCACCUGGUGGCGAGUGGCGAACGGGUGAGUAAUACAUCGGAACGUACCUUAUCGUGGGGGACAACGCAGCGAAAGCUGUGCUAAUACCGCAUACGCCCUGAGGGGGAAAGCGGGGGAUCGCAAGACCUCGCGCGAUUAGAGCGGCCGAUGCCUGAUUAGCUUGUUGGUGGGGUAAAAGCCCACCAAGGCGACGAUCAGUAGCUGGUCUGAGAGGACGGUCAGCCACACGGGGACUGAGACACGGCCCAGACUCCUACGGGAGGCAGCAGUGGGGAAUUUUGGACAAGGGGGGCAACCCUGAUCCAGCAAUGCCGCGUGAGUGAAGAAGGCCUUCGGGUUGUAAAGCUCUUUUGUCAGGGAAGAAACACCGGCUCUAACACAGUCUGGGAAUGACGGUACCUGAAGAAUAAGCACCGGCUAACUACGUGCCAGCCGCCGCCGUAA
rnacentral:rRNA from 1 species